rnacentral:lncRNA from 1 species
GGGGAGCAAGGCCUGCGGGGAGGCGCAGGAUGGACGCGUUGGCUGUCAUGAUGUAGGACCUCCUGACCUAGAACCAUGCCCGGCGCAGGGAGAACAACGAGCUUACGGACCGGGUGCGGGGGCUGCUGUGCGAGAAAGCCUACCUGCUGGCCCGGGAGCGUUCGCCGGCCCACCUGGUGGCUUUCCCUGGACGUUUAACGGCGACUCCGCCCGGCCUCCCGACUUUUUGAUGCAGGCGUUCUCUUACAUGACUUUCUUCGAGGCUAGAUUCUCGAAAGACAUCCUGAAGGUGGCUUUCUUAAUUAGCUGCCUCACCGGCUGGCGGAGCAGUUCGUAGUCGCCUACAUCGAGAGGGAGAGCCCCGUCCUGGCUCAGUACUGGGGCUUCGUGGACGCGCUGUAGCGGGUCUUCGCCGUCGUGGGUAGGAAACAGUCGGGCCGGAUCCCCGGUGUCUGGGGAGCGGCUGCCGGCCGGGCCCGCGCGAGCCGCUUCACUCCUACAAGCCCGGCUCACUAGUUCCAAGCUGCUGGACUUUGACCCUCGCUGGGAAGCUUGAUCGCCGCCUGUUCUCGCCAAUCUCUAUGCCUUUGCACUGCCCAGCAACCCGGUCACUGCCCAGGACCUGUUAAAAGUUGAAUGGACCUCCCAGAAUCACGCCGCUGCCACCGCCGUUUCUAGAGACGGCUUUUGGCCACCUUUGAGAAUCAGGGUCAAACUUGGAAGGGCCUGCAUUUGUCACACUUCCUCGGACACUAAUUUGGAUAGUUCAGGCCCAGAGACGGCUUCCCGGAACCUUCUGGAUUUCAGCUUUGGCAAGCUUCCUCUGUUUCUGAGACACCUCCAUCACCUGGGUUACAAUCCCAUCCAUGAUUUUCCCCAUCUCCAGGCAUUUUUCAUGGAAAGCUCCUCAUGCUUUUUAAUUCCAGUUUAUCCAUUUGUGUGGCUUUAACCUCCACAUCCAGAUCCUUUGCACAUGGCCUGCUAUCAACAAUCCUCUACAAUGAUUCUCAGCAUCACCUAGGGAGCUUAUGUAAAAUCUCAAAUUCCUGGGCCCUAUCCCCAGAGUUUCUUAUCAAGUAAGUCUGCAUUGGGAUCUGAGGAUUUGCAUCUCUAACAAAAAUUCCUAGGCGAUGCUCACACUGUUGGUGUAAGGUUUCCUUGAUGGAGAACUAUCAAAGCAGUCAAAGCUAUCAAAAUAAAAAAGAAUUCUGAUUGGGUGCAGUGGCUCACACCUGUCAUUCCAGCACUUUGAGAGGCCAAGGUGGGCAGAUCACAUGAGGCCAGGAGUUCAAGACCAGCCUGGCCAACAUGGCAGAAACCCCAUCUCUACUAAAAAUACCAAAAUUAGCCGGGCAUGGUGGAACACACCUGCAAUCCCAGCUACUCGGGAGGCUGAGGCAAGAGAAUCGCUUGAACCUGGGAGGCAGAAGUUGCAGUGAAACAAGUUGGUGCCAAUGCAUUCCAGCCUGGAUGAUGGAGCGAGACUCUGUCUCAAGAAAAAAAAAACAAAAACAAAAA